CCUACGGGAGGCUGCAGUGGGGAAUAUUGGACAAUGGGCGAAAGCCUGAUCCAGCCAUGCCGCGUGUGUGAAGAAGGCCUUCGGGUUGUAAAGCACUUUCAGUGGGGAAGAAAGCCUUGGGGCUAAUACCCUCGAGGAAGGACAUCACCCACAGAAGAAGCACCGGCUAACUCCGUGCCAGCAGCCGCGGUAAUACGGAGGGUGCGAGCGUUAAUCGGAAUUACUGGGCGUAAAGCGCGCGUAGGCGGUCUGAUAAGCCGGUUGUGAAAGCCCCGGGCUCAACCUGGGAACGGCAUCCGGAACUGUCAGGCUAGAGUGCCGGAGAGGAAGGUAGAAUUCCCGGUGUAGCGGUGAAAUGCGUAGAGAUCGGGAGGAAUACCAGUGGCGAAGGCGGCCUUCUGGACUGACACUGACGCUGAGGUGCGAAAGCGUGGGUAGCAAACAGGAUUAGAUACCCCGGUAGUC
rnacentral:rRNA from 1 species